rnacentral:lncRNA from 1 species
UGCUGAUGCUUCAGCCUCUCUUUUUCAGCAAUAAAGAUUUCACACCCUGUCCUUUCAGCCCAAAUUUCCAAUUGAUCACUAGCAGCUGCUCUAAACGUAAUGUUUAGCAAUUUCCAAUUUCCAAAUUUCUUGUAUCUCUUCCCACGUGAGCUUUAGCUCUAGAGCAUGUUAGUUAUCAAUGAGCAGCCUCUUACUUUUCAAACCAAUAUUUCUACUUCUUUUCCUCUCUCGAGCCAGCAUUAUUGGUGGCAAAGAACCACCCAUUCCAUUGCCUCCAUGCUUAUCAGACAUAUACCAGUUCAUAUCAAACUCAUGAAAAAAAUAACCAAUAAAAUGCAAAUCAGUAUUUGAAAAUAUAAAUAGGAAGAUAAAUAUGCACUGUACAGAAAAUACUAAAAACUGAGAUGGAGAUGGUGAUGGCAGUCGGGGGUAAAAUGUGCAAUACAAGAACCAUAUUAGUAAUUAGUCUCUAAAUGAGUGAAUGCAUACUAAAGUACGUAAACGGACAUGGGUCUCUAGAUGAGCCGUUCAACUGAAUGGAUGCUAUCAGUGUCUUUGAACCAAACAAUUAUGUAGAAGAAGCAUAACAAUAUAUACUGACCCAAAAUCUCUGACAAGUUAUAGAAGGAAGAAACUCAAAAAUAAAAAUUAACAAACUAAAUAUGUCCCCAAUUAAGUUUCUGGAGUGUUUUCUCUUAAAGAAACUCAAAAACAGAGGUUCUUCAUUUUCAUGCAAAGCCAAUGUGUGGCAGAAACAGCAGAACCACUGUCUGCUAUCAAUUUUUUUGUUUCCUUAGUUGCCUGCUAUCAUGUUCAUGACAAGCUAUAUUGUUGAGUUAUGAUUUCCAAGAAGCACCUAGAGAAUUGGACUGUAAGUAAGCCUUGAUUGGGAAACUAUUUGUCCUCUAGGCCAGGAUAUAAAGAAUGAGUACAGGUAAUUCAGUUUGGACACCUAUUAUUGUUGCUCGUCACAAUUAUAUGAUUCCUCUACAAUUAUCUUGACGUGUACAAGCGCGUAAAUUCUCAUCUAUUUUGCAAGUCAACAUCAUGAAAUGCAAACAAUAUUUGAUAAAUUGAUAUAUCAGUACCUAUUUUUUUAUAGAAGUGAUGUUACAUAAAAUUUAUACCAAUAAUCUGAUAAAGAGAGGCAGAGAUUAGUUAAAUCCUUUCUUCAUUAAUUCAAACGAGUAUAAUUUGAUAAAGAAAGGUAGGGAUAACUAAAAUCCUUUCUUCAUUAAUUGUCUAUAUUACUCAACAUAUUAUUUACAUAAAUGAAAAUUAUACCACAAAGAAACACCUAACAGCAAAAAGAUACAACUUUGGUCCUUGGAAAUCUUUAAUAAAGUCAUCUAGACUAAAUUGAAAUUCUAUCACAUACGAAAAUUCCCAAUAAGGACAUUACUUACAAGUUACACAUUCAAGACAUGCAGAAAAUAUAAGAACUCUGAUAAUGCAACUAAUUAGCAACAUAUGCAAGCCUUGAGUAAUAUGCCAAAUUUACUUAUGAAUGGCUUAAAGCACUUCCCAAUUUUACUUAUGCAAAAAUUGAAGUGGCAAUAUGCCAAAUUCAGAAUCAAGCCCUCAAAGAUGAAAAGUUUGACACUCUUUCAAACCAAUUUCUCCAUCCACAAAAUUUUGUGGAGUCCCAUUUACUUUUUUUAUUCUUUAGUUUUUGUUCCAGAAAAAAAAAAAGAUUAAGUUUUGAAGGUAGCCUAAAAUGACAUUAUGUCCUCAAGUUUACCAUCUCAAUUUCAUUAUAAUUAUAUCAUUACUAAACUAAGCACUAAGUUUUUUUUCAAUGUUAACAUUGGAAAGAAAUUGGAGCAUUAAAUUAAAGGACGAGAAAAAUAUAUAUAUAAUUCUAUUCUCAAACUUAACAUUGAAAAAAAAAAUCAAUUAAAAUUAUCAAUCACUAAGUAUGUCCUAACUGUUAAUUUUUUUCUUUUUUCUUCAUUUAUAAAUUUUGAAUACAACUUUUCGACAUCUCAGGCUUACUUCGGACUGAUAAAAAUUAAAACCCGAGUACUUCAUGUAUAAACGAACAAAACUUAAGGUUUAGAUGCAUGUUGAACAAAUGUUCAACUCCAUAAUCUAUAUAUAUAUAUAUAUAUAUAUAUAUAUAUAUAUAUAUAUAUAUAUAUAUAUUAUUUUUUACUAAAUAUACUCCAUAUAUUCCACCUGAAAAGAAUGCAGGUAAUUAAAGAGCAUAAUAUCAGAACAAGAACCAAUAGUACUUGGCAAGGUCAAAAGGCCUAACUAAUAGUUUGAGUACAUAGACUUGAAUAAACUGCUUGAAUAGAAGUUAUGGACUAUUCUUUAGUCAAAGUAAUUUUUUUUCCUGUAAAGUACCCAUCUCAAAAUUCUUAUUUUUGAGAUUUUAAAAAUGGGUUAGUUGAACUUGAAAAUUCACUCAAAUAAUUGAAUUGGAUGGUACCAAUAAAAUAGUGUGCUAACUCCCAUUUUUUAUUGAUAUAGAGAACAUAGUUCAGAUUGAUACUUCAAAUACAAUUUUGUACAUCUGAAAUAUUAUCUGUAAAUGUAUACCAGAACAAUAAUUGAUCUAAAGAAAGACAUGUUAAACUUGAUUUCAACACAAGAAUAGGUACCAAACAAGAGGGAAAUCUGAAGAAAAAAAAGUACAUCUAUAGACUAAUUUACCAAAAUCACCAAUCAAUUCUCGUGUUCAAGCAAAAUAGCAACAUUGAGUCAUUUUUACAAACACCUAGUGUGCAUGGUUUAAAAAUUGUAAAAUCAUCAAGCACUACUAAAAAAUAAAAAUAAAGCCCUAAACAGUAAACACCCAUAUAUAGACAAAUCCACAUAAGGAGAGAUAAAUUCAUUGACUAAUGCUCAAAAUAAACUCAGUUUAUAUACCAUCCGAGCCCAAUUGGUAGAAAAAUUACCUCAGAAAUUUUUGGAGCCGGCGACUGGCGAGUGAAGAGACGACUGAAUCCUUUUAAGAGAAACGGGAAACGAGAAACGAGAAACUACUGAAGAGAAUUCAAAAGAUGGAUCAGUGACAGUGGCCGGUGGGAGAGAAUGGAUCGGAGAUGGUUGGGAUUCAGAGAAUGGUUCGAGUUUUCGAGGAUGGGUCUGAGAUCUAUUUGGGGGAAUGAACUAAAACUUUGAAAUGAUA